GAGGGGAGCAUCCAGUGUGAGACGGGAAGCCCCGAGGAUUGCCCCUUCUCCUCCUGCGCACCCGCUUCGCCCUCGCCACUGGGAAACUCCAGUCUGCCCCACGUUGCCCGCUAGAGUUGCUCUGGGACAGCGUGUCACUCUCCUGAGUUCUUCCUCUGCCCGGGACUCUCUCGGCUCCCUCCUGGGUCUCACUGUAUCUUUUCCCGGGACCCCCUCAUCUCUCCUAGUUCUCCCUUUAUCGUUUCCUCAGAGGCCCCUUAUCUGUCGGCUCCAAACCCUCUCCCCCUUUGCUCUCAUCCAUCUCCCAUCACCUCUUUUCCCUCCCGUGGCUCCCCGUUUCCCAUUAGAACUCAUCCCCCACAGGGCUGCCCUAUCCCUCCGCAGCCCUUAUCUCCCCGACUGGGGUCUCCGCCUUGCCGGAGGAAUCUUUCUUCCUCCCCUGGCUCCCAUUUACCCUGUUCCUAUUCUUCUGUUUCCUAAGAACCACCCUCCUCCUUUCCCCAGGGUAUUGUGCUCUCAAGAAUACUGUGGGCCAUGGCGUGGGGGCGCACGCCUGCAAUCCCAACACUUUGGGAGGCCAGGGCAGGAGGAUCACUUGAGCCCAGGAGGUCGAGGCUGCAGUGAGCCAUGAUCAUGCCACUGCACUCCAGCCUGAGUGACAGAACAAGACCCUGUCUCAAGAACAACAACAAAAACAUUGUGGACUCCCCAGCUCAAGACACAGCCCUCCAACAAACACACAUCCCCCAGGCUCUCCAGACCUGCUUUGUCCCCUAGUACAGAAGAAGCCAAGCUUGAGGGCCCCCCUCGGACUGUGGGCACUUGAACAUUCUCAUAGAUGCGCGUGGCAUUUGGUGCUGAAGAACCGGGAGAGGAGGACUCCUUCAGGAGACGAGUCCCCUGUCCUUGCCCUCACUCUGUGAGGAGAUCCACCUACGACCUCGGGUCCUCAGACCAACCAGCCCAAGGAACAUCUCACCAAUUUCAAAUUGGGUAAGCGGUCUUUUCACUCUCUUCUCCAGCCUCUCUCGCUACCCUUCAAUCUCCCUCUCUUGCUACCCUUCAAUCUCCCUAUCCUUCCAAUUCCAGUUCUUUUUCCUCUCUAGUAGAGACAAAGGAGACAUAUUUUAUCUGUGGACCCAAAACUCCAGCUCUGGUCACGGACUCGGGAAGACAGCCUUCCCUUGGUGUCUAAUCACUGCGGGGACGCCUGCCUGAUUAUUCACCCACACUCCAUUGGCGUCUGAUCACUGCGGGGACACCUGCCUUGGUCAUUCACCCACAUUCCCUUGGUGGCAAGUCAAUUGCGGGAAUGCCUGCUUUGGCUGCUCACCCACAUUGCAGCCCAGGGCUGCUCCCCACCCUCCUUCUCCGUGUCUCUACCUUUCUCUUUAUUUUUUUAUUUUUUUUUUUUUGAGACGGAGUCUCGCUCUGUCACCCAGGCUGGAGUGCAGUGGCACCAUCUCGGCUCACUGCAAGCUCCGCCUCCCGGGUUCACGCCAUUCUCCUGCCUCAGCCUCUCCGAGUAGCUGGGACUACAGGCGCCCGCCACCUCGCCCGGCUAAUUUUUUGUAUUUUUAGUAGAGACAGGGUUUCACCAUGUUAGCCAGGAUGGUCUCGAUCUCCUGACCUCGUGAUCUGCCCACCUCGGCCUCCCAAAGUGCUGGGAUUACAGGCGUGAGCCACCGCGCCCGGCCUACCUUUGUCUUUAAACUCACCUCCUUCACUAUGGGCAAACUUCCACCCUCCAUUCCCCCAUCUUCUCCCUUAGCCUGUGUUCUUAAAAACCUAAAACCCCUUCGACUCACACCUGACCUAAAACCUAAAUGCCUUAUUUUCUUCUGCAAUACCGCUUGGCCCCAAUACAAACUCGAAAAUAGUUCCAAGUGGCCAGAGAACGGCACUGUCAAUUUGUCUAUCCUACAAGACCUAGAUAAUUUUUAUCAAAAAAUGGGCAAAUGGUCUGAGGUGCCGUAUAUCCAGGCAUUUUUCAUGCUUCGUUCCCUCCCUAGUCUCUGUUCUCAAUGCGACUUGUCCCAAAUCCUCCUUCUUUCCCUCCCACCUGUCCCUUCAGUCCCAACCCCAAGCAUCGCUGAGUCUUUUGAAUCUUCCUUUUCUACCGACCCAUCUGACCUCUCUCCUCCUCCCCAGACUGCUCCUCCUCAGGUCGCUCCCCACCAGGCUGAAUCGGGCUCCAACUCUUCUUCAGCCUCCGCUCCCCCACCCUAUAGCCCUUCUAUUACCUCCUCUCCUCACACCCGGUCUGGCUUACAGUUUCCUUCUGCGACUAGCUCUCCCCUACCUGCCCAACAAUUUCCUCUUAGAGAAGUGGCUGGAGCUGAAGGCAUAGUCAGGGUACAUGUGCCUUCUUCUCUAUCAGACUUUUCCCAAAUCAGCCAGUGUUUAGGCUCUUUCUCAUCAGACCCCACUAAAUAUAUAUAGGAAUUCCGAUAUCUAACUCUGUCCUACAAUUUAACCUGGAGUGACUUAAAUGUCAUCCUAACUUCUACCUUCUCCCCAGAUGAACGGGAAAGAGUUUUUUCUCUAGCCCAAUCUCACACUGAUAACCGCCAGCUUCAUGAGCCAGACCUCCAUGAAGGCAUUAGAGCAGUUUCCCGAGAAGAUCCCCAUUGGAACUAUCAGGCAGAUUCCCCAGGUAUAGCUAGGUGAUAUUACAUGAUUUCCUGCCUAGUUGAAGGGCUUUAAAAGGGAGCUUACAAAGCUUUUAAUUAUGACAAACUUAAAAAACUACCCAAGGUAAAGAUGAAAACCCAGCCCAGUUCAUGGUCCACUUAGCAGCAACCCUUAGACGCUUUACUGCCCCAGACUCAGAGGGGCCGGAAGUCCGCCUUAUUCUUUUUUUUUCUUUAGAUGUAUUUUACUUUUAUUUUUUUAAUCUUUGGGCACAAAGAUUUGACACAUUAUUUCAAAAGAAUACAAUUACUCAUCCAGUGGGAAUAAAUUCAACAAACAUUAAUUGAUGAGCAAAGUACUGGCUUUAAAAAAAUAAACUAAGUAAAUUUUUUUUUCCUUGGGUAAUAAAAUAAGAAUAAAAGAAGAGACAUUGGGUUAAGAACCCUUAGGGCAAAAUAAAAAUGCAAUUGGUUUCUCAAAAACUUGCUUUUGACAUCUCAAAAAAAGUCAUGCUAGGGAAAUGAGCUAAGAAAGCACAUUGUUAUUUGUACGUGGUAGUGUGACAUCCUUGCCGUGUUGAAGGUAAGACCAUCUAAAGGUCAAGACAGUACACAGAGACUAUAAAAACAAAAUUGAAAUAAAAAGCAGGAUAAUAAGAUGAAAGGAAAAGUAGAAACUGCCAGAAAAAAGCAGAAGCAGCACAACUGUCAAGGAGACUGUAAAUUCAGAUGCCAUCAAGCUUUACCACAAAGAGAUAAAGGAAAAGGCCAAUUUUGAUGACAAAUGACAAAGUAUAACAUCCAAAGAGAAAUGGGGAAGAAAGAGGUCAUAUGUCCUCCUGUGAACAUUUGAAUAGUUCUCAGAUACACUUAGUUUGAGCAGAAUUAUGUGAUUGCUGAGUUCUUUCCUCUCUGCUUGGCAAAAAUGAUGGAGGUCUUGUCUCCAAUUUUAACCCUAUUUGCCUUUUUGCAACAAUAUGGCAAGUUGUUUCCAUGCUGGGUGGGGAAAGGGAAACUAAGAGUAAAAACCAACCAGUUGUUACUUUGCAAAACGGAAAUGUAACUUUAAGGAUUAAGCAAUCUUGACUGCUAACAAAAUUAAUUCCUGAACACUACAAAAAAGGAAAAAAUGCAUAGAAAUUGAUAUUUUAAACAUUAAAUAUUUAGCAGUUUCUCUUAUUUGGCAAAAUCUUUUUGAAGCAAAGCUGAUCUCAUUUUGGUUUAGAUCACAUCAAAGAAUUUCCACCAAAAAUGACUGAAUUAUUGCUAUUUACUAAAAUGGUUUUCAUUCCGUGACAUUUUUCUGUUUCAACCAAAACUGCUGUACUAAAAGUCAUUUCUGGCACUGACCAUCUAGAGUUAGUGCAGACUCCAUAAGUUAAGGGCUUAAUCCUUCACAAAUCUUCUCUUACUUCAGAUUCCAGCUGUACUUUGGGGGUCCCCAGGUCACCCACACUUCUGAACAACUAGCUAUAAAUUUGGUGAUUCCCAUGACCCUCUUAGUGUUACCAUGGGUCCUUGCUCACAGAGCUCCCAAGAUGGUGGUGAACCGCUUCCAAGAUGGUGGCAAGCCUCGUAUUCUCUGACCUGGGGUUCUUGGCCUCACGGAUUCCAAGGAAUGGAAUCUUGGGCCAUGCGAUGAGUGUUAUAGCUCUAUUAGAAGCUGUGGGUCACGGAAGAGAACUGUGGAACCCAGUGACUAGUGUUCAGCUCAAUUAGGACGAACCCAGGCACUUAGCCGUGCAAGAACAAUGGCAAGCCUUUAGCACGAUCGGGAGUGGCAAUGGGAGUCUCGCUGGAUCAGGAGCACAGCGGACACCCUGCCGGAUCUGGAGGGAUGGGAGUCAGCAGCAGGAUGGGAGUCAGCGGCGGGUCUGCGACAGUGGCAAACAGCAGUGGUGGACGGCGAGCGAAAGCUCAGCUUGAGCCGUAAUAAACAUGGACCAAAAGAG